GCUAGCCAUAGUCCCUAAAGCCAAGUUCAGUACCAAGUCUGAUCUUGGAAGAUAAGUAGGGUUAGCCCUAGUAAUACUUGAAUGGGAGAUCAUCAACAAAAACCAGGUGCUAUGAGCA
rnacentral:rRNA from 11 species